rnacentral:rRNA from 1 species
AGAGUUUGAUCAUGGCUCAGGACGAACGCUGGCGGCGUGCUUAACACAUGCAAGUCGAGCGAAAGGAUUCCCUUCGGGGAUGAAUUUAGCGGCGGACGGGUGAGUAACACGCGGGCAACCUGCCUUAUAGAGGGGGAUAGCCUUCCGAAAGGAAGAUUAAUACCGCAUAACAUCAUUUUACCGCAUGGUAGUUUGAUCAAAGGAGCAAUCCGCUAUAAGAUGGGCCCGCGGCGCAUUAGCUAGUUGGUGAGGUAACGGCUCACCAAGGCGACGAUGCGUAGCCGACCUGAGAGGGUGAUCGGCCACAUUGGGACUGAGACACGGCCCAGACUCCUACGGGAGGCAGCAGUGGGGAAUAUUGCACAAUGGGGGAAACCCUGAUGCAGCAACGCCGCGUGAGUGAUGAAGGCCUUCGGGUUGUAAAGCUCUGUCUUUGGGGACGAUAAUGACGGUACCCAAGGAGGAAGCCACGGCUAACUACGUGCCAGCAGCCGCGGUAAUACGUAGGUGGCAAGCGUUGUCCGGAUUUACUGGGCGUAAAGGGAGCGUAGGUGGAUAUUUAAGUGGGAUGUGAAAUCCCCGGGCUUAACCUGGGGGCUGCAUUCCAAACUGGAUGUCUAGAGUGCAGGAGAGGAGAGUGGAAUUCCUAGUGUAGCGGUGAAAUGCGUAGAGAUUAGGAAGAACACCAGUGGCGAAGGCGACUCUCUGGACUGUAACUGACACUGAGGCUCGAAAGCGUGGGGAGCAAAACAGGAUUAGAUACCCUGGUAGUCCACGCCGUAAACGAUGGGUACUAGGUGUAGGGGGUUUUCGAUACCUCUGUGCCCGCCGUUAACACAAUAAAGUACCCCGCCCUGGGGAAGUACGGGCCGCAAGAUUAAAAACUCAAAGGAAUUGACGG